GAUGGGCCUCAUCUUAAGCUGAUUUUGUUCAGCCUUCCUUAGGCUACUUGCAGUUGGUUGAAAUCAUGGUACAUGACUCUCAUUUUUAUUCUUCUUUUGUAAAAUGGAAGGUUAGGAUCAAAGUCAUGGAAUUAUUGGGAGAAAUAAUUUAGAUUAUAUCUGUAAAGCACACAAUAAGUUGUUUGACAAAUGAUAAGUGCUCCGUAGAUCUGUUUCUACUUCCUUAUAUCAAACUCAGCUGAACUGAGAAAUACAAAUCACAGUUGCUUUGUUGUGAAGAUAAUUGAGCAGUGAAAUCUCAAGGUAAUUAUUUUCUCUCCAUCUUUUCCAGUAACUAGAAAAUAUAAGAGUUGUGGUCUGAAAGAGAAAGAGAAAGAGAAAGAGAGAAAGGAAAUCUCUCAUAUUCAUACCUGUGGACACAAAAUUGACAAAUGAACUUCUGUUCUAACAUUUCUGUAAGGUUGUUGGAGUUUAAGGUGAGUAAGGGAAAGUUUUAAGUUCAAUAAGUUACAGUAUUAAGUAGGAAGGAUAAAAAAUGAUAACUUUGUUCUGCCAUGCAAAGAGGAAGCUUAUGAAGAAGUUGUUUUUAUGAGAUUGCUUUAGCAGGGUCAUUCAAUGAACAUGUAGUGAAACAGAGAUACAUAUAAUACAAUGGAACUUGUUUAUUUACAAACAGAAUCUACAUCCAUGUCUCAUAACACCGAUAUUGGAUAAGUAUUGGAGGCAUAACAAAGGAAUUCAAUUUGUGAAAAGCCAUUUUUCUAAUGGCCUGUUUUACUUCCUUAAAAAAUAUCUCCUAAUCUAAAUGAACUUCACAUCUCCUUGAUCUAACAUAGUAUCUUGUGCACAUGAGUCUGUCUCAGGAUUUGCACUUAUGCUGUAGUGAUUUAUUACCUACUUAUUUGUUCAUAGGUUACUGUAGCUUGUGAGGAUGUGUAUCAUCUUGCCCACCUUUGUCUUCAUUGCCUGCAGUGGUCCCUGAUAACUCAUAGACAGUCAUAAAUGAACCAACAGGGAGUGAAUGACAUCUGUGGUGGUUCUCAGCUCUGGCUACACUUUAGACUUCUCUAGGGAGCUUUUGUAUAAUAUCGAUUUCUGAAAACUUCCCCUAGAGGUCUGACUUUAUUGUCUUGAGGUAAAGAACUGUCACAGGUAUUUGAUAAUCUAGCCAAAAUGAUUCCAGUGUACAGUCAGAGCUGAAAACCAAUAUUGGCCAGAUAAUCUAAAUACACUAUUCAAUCUAGUGAGAUUAUAUCAUAGUUUUAACCAAUUACUACAUGAAAUUAGCAUUACAGAUAUCAAAAGGAGAAAGACAGUUCUUGCCCUUUAAAGAACAACAAUUUGAUAGCAAAGCUGGAAUGGGUGUUUAAAUCACACUGCAUGAUGAUGAUGAUGAUGAUGCUAGAAACACUUCUAUCAAAUCUAAACUGCUCAUCAGCCAUGGUGCCCUUCACUACAUGCACUAUUUGAUUUAGUUUCUGUAACCACCCUGUGAGAAAGACAUUACAGAUCUUUUAUUCCAUUUUACAAGGUGGGACAAUUGAAGCUGCAUGACAAUGGAAAUUUGUAUUUGACUUCAAAUCAUCUUCACAUUUACUCCCACAUUUUCAUUUUGAGGGAAUAAGCUUCUGAGUUGCCCAUUUUAGAUCUAAAGUGCCAUACAAAUGGAAAAAAAAAGUAUAGAAGAGCAUGCACCAGGGCUGCUAGUUAGAAGCUUGGUGCCCAUGUUGGAUAUAUUGUCCUGAAAUGAGGGUGGCCUGGCAGGAAGCUUGUUGGCACUCAUGGUGGAGCUGAGUGGAACGGGGUGUGGGAGAGUAGAUCUUGACCAGGUGUGCUAAAUGCAUCUCUCACUCUGCAAAUAUGGGAACUUCAGAGAUUUAGUCUAAGAAACACAGGUGGCCCAAAGUGCUCAAUCUCCCUGAAAGCUUUCUAUGUGCCAUGCACCAUUUUAAAGUCUUUAUGAGUAUUGACUUAAUCCUCAUAAAACCCUGUGAGGAAUGGACCAUUGUCUCUAUUUUACUGUUGACAAAACGGAAGCAACAUAGUUAAGCAACUUGUCCAAGUCAUAAAUCUGUAAGCUCUGAACAUGCAUUCAGGAGGUCCCUCUCUUCAUGCUUGCCCCGGGGGUUAGGGCAGGCAGCCUGUAGCCCUGGGAGAUGUAGUCAGGAUUCAGAGAUCUGGCUGAUGCUAAAUAUAACACUGUGUUAUGUUUUAUUAUAUGGCGAACUGUUGCUAUUAUUGUUAACAUGAUGCCUUUUCAAUGAAGGCCUGUCUUUGGUGGUCUGGGAGGUAUGAUUUAAGGGGUGGGAUGCGAGGUCAUCAGCUAACUAAAUAUUUCCCUACUCUCUGCAGCCUCACUUCUCAGAAAUUUGUUUGUAGAGUCACAGAAGAUUUUAAAGACAAAAAGAUUUUUUUAUAAACUGCCAAACUAGCAGAGUUACUUGUUUUACUUGAUUUCCCUCCUACUCAGAACUCCCACAGUUUCGCUCUUUACUUCACACCCUCCCCCCAUCCACAAGGCAAUUUAAAAGAAUAGCACCCUUCAAGGGCUGAUUUCCAGCCUGUUCCAUUUGGGAAGACUUUCUUUUACUUUUCUUUCUUUCAUACCACCACCACCACCACACACACAUGCACACACACACAUAAAUGCACACACAUACAAAGUUUUCUUCUCUUUCAUCUACCUUUAGGUGUGAAUCAUAGUCCUGUUCACCCAAUCACUUGCGUGUGUAACAAACUGAGUCUGGAAAUCCUGUUGUCCCAAGGUAGAGGAUGGGAAGGUUGGAGAGAGUCAGUUAAAGGCCAUUACUUGGGAAAUAGUUGUACAAGGAGUAGGUGCCUUCCCGGCUCCCAUUGGCCACAAAAUGGCAGCAUUUAGCCUAGUAUUAGGGUGCCUCCUUCCCCUCUCUACUUGGCUUGAUGAGGGGCCUAUUAUGUCCCAAGCACUGUACCAAGUGUAACAAAACUCCAGCCUUCUCCAGGCUGAUUGGGAAAGUUUUCAUGAAGCCAGAUCUGCAUAUAAACUUCUGACAAUUUUCUGCUUGAAGAUCUUGGGAGCCAAACUUGGUGAAGAGCAUUAAGACAACGCUUAGGCAAACGAAAGAGAAGGUGUGUGUUUCUUUGUUGUCCCUGGAGAAACCCCAGAUGUGGAAACAGCGCACUGUUCCAAUUCACUUUAGUGUACUCAAAGAGAUUAGGAGCUCCUGCACUAGGAGGCUUGGCCAGGUGAAUUGCUGGCACAGUGCUAUGGUCUGGAUGUUAAAUGUCAUCUCAAAGUUGAAGGCUUGGACCCCAGCCUGUGGUGAUCGUGGGAGGUGGUGAAACCUUUGAGAAGUGGGGCCUAGUGGAAGGAAGUUAGGUCAUUGGAGGAAUGCCCUUGAAGGGGAUGUUAGGACCCUAGCCACUUCCUGUCUUUCCCCCUGCUUCCUGAGGUGGGCAGCUCUGCUGAAGGAUGCACUUUCUGGCAUUAUGUUCUGCUUCACCACAGGUCCAAAAUGUCAGGACAAACCAACCAUAGACUAAAACCUUUGUGAGCCAAAAAUAAAUCUUUUCUCCUCUUAAGUUGUUUUUCUGAGAUAAUUUGUCACAGUGACAGAAAGCUGGAAUGAUUUAUUAAUUUGUACUCUCUCUCCACUUUGUUCUAGAAUGGGCUUAAUAGUGUUCACAAAGAAGAGAAACUAAAGUAACAUUGGUGAGUGGGGUCAUGAAGAUCAAGUGCCAAUGAGUGGAAGGCAUGAGGAGCUGGUCUGAAAAUGAAGGUGCGAGGCCCUAUGUGUUUCUUAAAAGAGGCCACAAGGUUUGUUUAAGCUUCUUGAAAGUCAUGGCUUUCUGUCUUUGUCUGAAUCGUCAAUUAUAGAUAUUUCCAAAUGAGAAAUCUUUAACUACAAUUGAAUCCUUUCUUAACUUAAGCAAAUCAUUAGUGCAUUCAAUUAUGAAAGAACACAAAUCAAAGAAAAUGUGUGAAAUUCCAAAAAUACAUAUGAAAGAAUGUGUCAAAAUAUCAGUUGUGAUGGAGGUGAUGCAAAUGUAUUUUAAAAGUAUAGGUUGAGAACUGACUUAAAAGAUUCCUGUGAUUCAGAUGCAGGGGGUAGUUCAUAGACUGAUAAAGGUUAAGAAGCAGUAAUGCCCCUUUAUCACGACCACAUCCCUUUCAAUUCCCAAUCAUUUAAAAAAAAACAUUUAUAACAUUUUUCUAAUGAUUUUCUUUACUUUAAAGGAUGGGAAUAUAGGAUGCUUUAUGUAGCAAAUACCCUAUAACAAAACCCAAGACUGGCUAUGCAAUUUGUGGGGUGCAGUGCAAAAUGAUUAUGUGAACACUUAUUGAAUGACAAUUCAAUUUUUGUGAGCAUAGUAGUGGUGUAGUUGUAUUUCUUUGUAGUUUUAAUUUGCAUUUUACUUAUUAUUAACAUGGUCAUAAACAUUUGCAUGUACUUAUUGAUCAUUUGAGUUCCCUCUUUUGUGAAGAACUUGUUCAAAUAUUUUUCUCUAUUACUUUGUCUUUUUGUGAAUGGUUUGUAACUCUUCGUAUGUUUUAGAUAUAAGUCCUUUGUUUUAAUGUGGAGGAAAUAUGGUCUCCUACUUUGUGAUAUGAAUUUUAUCCUCUCUAUGAUAUCUUUAUGACUAGAACUGGUUCAUUCUUUGGAUCAAUUUUUAUGUCUUGUAUGAAGUAGAAACUCUGUUUCAUUUUAAAAAAAUGAACUUUCAGUUGUUCCUGUAUCUUUUUUUUUUUUCAAAGAAUCUUCUUUCUCCCUGCACUGCAGAGUUAUGUCUGUUCUCAGUCUGGUGUUCACAGAUCCUGGGUCUGGUUCUCAGCUCUCUCUUGCACUUUAAAAAGUAUGUCUGCAGUAAAAUUAACUGCUCAGUGGAGGCAAUAGGGUAGGCCAUGGUGUUCAUGAGUUUCUUUUCUUUAUAAGUUUGUGGAUGAAAUAAUGAAGAAGUGAUAGGGUAGAAGCCAGAAGACCCAAGUUCAAAAUCAUCUGGGCCAUGUUUACAAGUGAUCCCAUGUAAAUAGUUUCUAUAGAUGAAAUACACCUCCAUUUUUUUAAGAGAGAGAGAGAGAAUUUUUUUUUUCAAUAUUUAUUUUUUAGUUCUCAGCAGACACAUAUUUAUUUUAUUUUAUGUGGUGCUGAGGAUCGAACCCAGCAUCCCGCGCAUGCCAGGCAAGCGCCUUACUGCUUGAGCCACAUCCCCAGCGCCCCCGCCCCCCAUUUUUAAAGAAGGUAAUAGCUGUCCCCCAGCUGACUUAGCAGAGUCCUUGACAGGAUCAAAUGAUAUAAUAUGGAUUUUUCAAAUGUUUGUUGACACACAUAACAUGUAGUGAAAACACAGAAGGAAAAUGAGAGAGCAGGUACUUUUUGCAAUAGAAAACCAUUGAGAGUAGAGUAGAUUUUACCUCAUAAUAACAGGUGGACACUGAACAUUAUGUGAAUGAUCACUGUGAUAUGAGAUUACUUAUUACUUCUUGGGACUCGCUACUUUCUAUUUCUACUGUUAUAACCAAAGAUGGGAACAGAUAUUGCUCCUGUUGUGUUUUAAUGUGGGAUCAGUAGGGAUGAGCUCCCAAAUUUUUUUAUUAUUGAUGCUUGAGAAUUUUCCACUGUUGUUUAAUUUCUCUGAAUUAGCUUUUAGCCUUUCCCUAGGAAUUGCUCUUGCUAAUAGUGGUGACACAGUGAAUCCCUACACAUGAAUGUGACCACGUUAUUUAAACUUCUUAUAAAUUAGCCAUAUAUGGAGAGAAACAAACAUUAUUCAAUGCCAUUAGUGGUGUGUAUGUAUGUGUGUGUGUGUGUGUGUGUGUGUGUGUAGAUUGCUGAGAGGAGUGAAAGAAGAAAAUUAAUGAUGGGUAAAGAAAAAAGUCAUCCUUCACCUGCUUCAUUCCUCAUGCAAACACAUAUUCAUCAAUCAAUUUACAUAUCAGUCAGCUCUGUGGUUUAUUUGUCUAAAUAAGAUGAAAUGCUGGCCCUGGAGGGCCAUGUCCUUGCCCUUUCUCUUCUCUUUAGCUUUCUGUUCAAGUGGUUUUUAAAGUGUGGUCCCAGACUAGCAGCAUCAACAUCAACUGAAAACAUUUUAGAAAUAACAAUCCAAUGACCUCCCAAAUCAGAACUCUGGGAAUGGGGAGGGUGGGAGAAAUCUGAACCUUGACAAAUCCUGGAGAUGAUUCUGUGUAUGCUCAUGUUGGAAAGGUUGGUCCUACUCGAUGUCCUGACUGGUGCUAUUUGUCUUAGCAGCCUAUGCACUGGUGUUUCUGGUUUUUCAUGCCUUUGCUUCUGGUGUUACCCUUAUUUGUCACUCAAGGUUUAGCUUAGGUAACAGCUGUACCUAACUCAUGGUGGGUGCCUUUUCUCCCUCAUCACAUUGUACUAGGGGCUGUGAGCUUCUAGGGACAGGUGUGAAACUGACUUCUUUAUCUUUGAAUUCUAGCACCUGUCUCCAUGAUUGGCCCAUAAGAGGUACUCAAUCAUCACUUCCUGAAAUACUGUUAAUAUAGGACACAACAUUAUGUAGUGGGGAAUAAUCUUAAACGUGAAGAUGAAAAGCCCUGAGUUGAAGUUCAGGCUCUACAAUUUUGUAGACAAAUAUCCCUAGACAAUUCAGUUACAGAGGAAAAUUUUGUCUACUUCUUUAAACUUUCCACAAAGCUAUUUUCUGGUGAAGGUUGUUGCAUUAACUUGAUCUCUCAAAUUCCCAAGAUAACCACAGACCUUCAUCUGUAAAACCUAAUAAAGAGAUAAAGGAAAAAGGAGGGAAUGUCAAGGGCUUAUUGGAAGACACUAUUUUGUCUAAGAAUAGUAGAAAAAGCCUUGUACUGAUCAGCAUGUGUUUUCUUCUUUGGUUCUACAGUUAUUAAAUUUGCUUUUCUAACUAAAAUAAAAUAGAUGAAUCAGAAAGAAAAAAGGAAAUUGCUUCUAAUCAGCUUAAGCUAGGUGGUGAUAACUAUCAGGAGUGAAUAUUGGCUUUGAAUUUAGAGAUGAACCACUGGGUGUAAGACAUUAUGGAAAAGCAAUCCCAGGGUCAAGGUUAAAGGUGGGGCAGACAAGGUACUAAUGACAAUGUACUUUGAUCCUUGACUACAUUUCUCUGCCCUUCCUCUCAACUGGCAGCUGAGAUAGGGGUCUAUGGGUAUUGAAAUCUGUUAGCUUUCAUGGGCAAAUGGGGAGGUAUUAAGAUUGGUUAAUUUUUGCACUUUCUAUUUUUCUACUUAACUCAGAGACUGUCUACAGUGAGAGGCUGCAAAGAUGAUCCAUGGUCUUCUCAUCACACUUCCUCCAUUUGAAGGUUGGCUUGGAAUGGUUCUUGGGUAUCAAAGUAAAUGUUUGCCUGUGCUGGUAAACUGAAUGGUGCAUAGCUGUGUGUCACUGUCAGAGCCUGGCAGAUACCCUUGCUUUCUGGUUCCAAGAAACCACUAACAGAGCAAAGCUUACGCCAAGGAAGACAGAUCAUUUGCAGUUUGUUUAUAAUCCUCCAGGACCAAGUGGGAAACAGUCUUGCCAACCAACCUUCCUUGAGCCAGUUGAAGUGAAACCAAGGUUUGUCCACUUACCUUGAUAAUUACGGCAAAAAAGGCCCGUGCGAUUCAGGUCUGACUUUUCCCAAUCAGGACCAUGAGGAGGUCUUGGAUAAUUCAAUCUGGACAGGAUUUUUGAUUCCUUGUGGGUUGUUCUAUUGUUUCUGAGUCGUUGCUGGACAGCAGAAAUGGAUAUUGGAAGUACAGCUCAGAAAAGCAAUCUGCAUUGAGCAGCAUUAUAUCUUGUGUUUUGCUUACAUUUUUAUUCCUAAAACAUGACUUCAUUGGUGGUGGCCAUGCCUGUGGAUCCAAAUACAAAUUUAUCAUGUUUGCUGUAGUGAAUUCAGAUGAUGAAAUGUGGAAAAGCUAUUUGUUAUUGUCUUCAAAAUAGCUUCUGAUGAAGACUGCAUUAAACUGAUCACUGGAGAUUUUCCCACAGAACACUUUUUUUGGCCCUUUGUGGACUAGCAUAACAAUGGCUUUGGGUCUGGUCUUCCUAGGGAGCUUCACACAGGACUGGGCAUAUUUGAGGCACACAAAAGAAUGAAUAUUCCUUCUUUAGAAACACUAAACUUUGCAUUUUACUGUCAAAAUAUGAUUCAUAAAUAAAAAAGUAGAGACCAGUCAGUUAUCCUUGGUAUACUAUUCAUGAUUCUAGGAAACAAUUUUUAGCAACCAUGAACUGUAUCUGAAAAAAAAAAGUCAUAGGUAGACAGAUUUUCCCAAAAAACUUAUGACCUGUUUAAUAGGUACAGAAAUUGAUCAUAAAUGCCAGGCUUGAAAAGGCUUGUUUCUUGUCAAAAGCCUUCAUUGUAUCUGAAAAUAUAAGCAGUAGAUAGGGGAUUCAUUUACUCAGCACUCUGAAAAGUUUUAAAAAGGCUAUUGCCUUGUAAGGUAAGUGGAAAGCUUGGGGGAGAAAUGUCAAAAGGUCUUACAAAAGCCUUGACUCAAAUGCCAGUAAUAAAGCAGGAAAAAAAAAAUAAAAGAAGGAGGAGGAGGAGUUGUUGAAGCAUAUGCUAUUUGACCAUGGGGGAAUCUCUAAGCAGAGGAGGGAAAUGCUAUGCUGUCUACACUUUGGCUAAAAUAAUCAAGAGCUUGUCGACAGGAAACAGGGCAAAAUGGAAAUGUAUAAAUAAGACAGAGAGGUAAGCUGAGGCCAAAUGCUAUGGCAGCAAGCUGGCCCUUUGGAAAGUCCUCGGUGGGAACAAGAGUGGAUAAGCUUGGCCUUUCUUUGGAGCUAAUCAGCUCUUACUAGGCAAAUCCAAGAAUAGCCUAGAGACCUUGAGUAGUGCAGAGGGGCAUUUUGGUCUCCUUUGCAGCAGUCAUUCAUUUUCAAUGUCAUGCUUAUUUUCUGAGGUAUUGACAUGCAGCCAUCAUGAAGUGUUUUUUUAUUAAUCCCAGGGAUGAGAGAAACACACAGAUAGUCCCAAAGCAUUGGAAGGCAUAUUUUUCUUGUCCUAAAUUUCUGCUUCCUCAACCACUCUUUCAGUGUUUCCUAAAUCCAGAAGCUGCACCCAUGAUUCCACAGGAAUUUGGAAGAGAAGAGACAACCAGGAUAGAAAAACAGAGGUCAGAGAGACAUUGACUUGGAAUUUUG
rnacentral:lncRNA from 1 species